rnacentral:rRNA from 1 species
GACGAACGCUGGCGGCGUGCUUAACACAUGCAAGUCGAACGGUGAAGCCUUUCGGGGUGGAUCAGUGGCGAACGGGUGAGUAACACGUGGGCAACCUGCCCUGCAUUCUGGGACAAGCCUUGGAAACGGGGUCUAAUACCGGAUACGACGCAUCUCCGCAUGGGGUGUGCGUGGAAAGCUCCGGCGAUGCAGGAUGGGCCCGCGGCCUAUCGGCUUGUUGGUGGGGUGAUGGCCUACCAAGGCGACGACGGGUAGCCGGCCUGAGAGGGCGACCGGCCACACUGGGACUGAGACACGGCCCAGACUCCUACGGGAGGCAGCAGUGGGGAAUAUUGCACAAUGGGCGCAAGCCUGAUGCAGCGACGCCGCGUGAGGGAUGACGGCCUCGGUGUAA